rnacentral:rRNA from 1 species
UACAGAAGUGGCAAGCGUUGUUCGGAAUUACUGGGCGUAAAGGGCUCGUAGGCGGCCAACUAAGUCAGACGUGAAAUCCCUCGGCUUAACCGGGGAACUGCGUCUGAUACUGGAUGGCUUGAGUUUGGGAGAGGGAUGCGGAAUUCCAGGUGUAGCGGUGAAAUGCGUAGAUAUCUGGAGGAACACCGGUGGCGAAGGCGGCAUCCUGGACCAACACUGACGCUGAGGAGCGAAAGCCAGGGGAGCAAACGGG